rnacentral:rRNA from 1 species
AGACGUCUACAUUAGAUACCCGGGUAGUCCCAGCCGUAAACUAUGCGCGUUAGGUGUAUCGGUGACCACGAGUUACCGAGGUGCCGAAGGGAAACCGUGAAACGUGCCGCCUGGGAAGUACGGUCGCAAGGCUGAAACUUAAAGGAAUUGGCGGGGGAGCACCACAACAGGUGGAGCCUGCGAUUUAAUUGGACUCAACGCCGGGAAGCUCACCGGAUAGGACAGCAGAAUGAUUGCCGGGCUGAAGACCCUGCAUGACUAGCUG